rnacentral:rRNA from 1 species
GACGAACGCUGGCGGCGUGCCUAAUACAUGCAAGUCGAGCGGGGAUUAUGCUUGAUCGCUUCGGUGAGACGGCAUAUAUCCUAGCGGCGGACGGGUGAGUAACGCGUGGGUAAUCUACCUCGUAGUUCGGGAUAACAGGCCGAAAGGCUUGCUAAUACCGGAUGAGUUCAUGCUUAUGCAUAUAGGCAUGAAGAAAGGGCUAGCCCGCUAUGAGAUGAGCCCGCGUCCCAUUAGCUUGUUGGUGGGGUAAUGGCCUACCAAGGCAACGAUGGGUAGCCGGCCUGAGAGGGUGUACGGCCACACUGGGACUGAGACACGGCCCAGACUCCUACGGGGGCAGCAGUAGGGAAUUUCGGCAAUGGGCGAAAGCCUGACCGAGCGACGCCGCGUGAGGGACGAAGGCCUUCGGGUUGUAAACCUCUGUCUGGGGGAUGAGAACGGACGGUACCCCGGAGGAAGCCCGGCUAACUACGUG